rnacentral:rRNA from 1 species
UAGGGAAUCUUCCGCAAUGGGCGAAAGCCUGACGGAGCAACGCCGCGUGAGUGAUGAAGGUCUUCGGAUCGUAAAACUCUGUUAUUAGGGAAGAACAUAUGUGUAAGUAACUGUGCACAUCUUGACGGUACCUAAUCAGAAAGCCACGGCUAACUACGUGCCAGCAGCCGCGGUAAUACGUAGGUCCCGAGCGUUGUCCGGAUUUAUUGGGCGUAAAGCGAGCGCAGGCGGUUUGAUAAGUCUGAAGUUAAAGGCUGUGGCUCAACCAUAGUUCGCUUUGGAAACUGUCAAACUUGAGUGCAGAAGGGGAGAGUGGAAUUCCAUGUGUAGCGGUGAAAUGCGUAGAUAUAUGGAGGAACACCGGUGGCGAAAGCGGCUCUCUGGUCUGUAACUGACGCUGAGGCUCGAAAGCGUGGGGAGCGAACAGGAUUAGAUACCCUGGUAGUCCACGCCGUAAACGAUGAGUGCUAGGUGUUGGAUCCUUUCCGGGAUUCAGUGCCGCAGCUAACGCAUUAAGCACUCCGCCUGGGGAGUACGACCGCAAGGUUG